GUGGGGCAUCUACCUCUUAGUGGGGAAUAACUCUGGGAAACCGGAGCUAAUACCGCAUAAGCCUGGAAAGGGAAAGCAGCAAUGCGCUGAGAGAGGACCCCGCGGCCGAUUAGCUAGUUGGUGAGGUAAAGGCUCACCAAGGCGUCGAUCGGUAGCCGGCCUGAGAGGGCACACGGCCACACUGGCACUGAAACACGGGCCAGACUCCUACGGGAGGCAGCAGUGGGGAAUCUUGCACAAUGGGGGCAACCCUGAUGCAGCGACGCCGCGUGAGCGAUGAAGCCCUUCGGGGCGUAAAGCUCUUUCGGCCGGAACGAUAAUGACGGUACCGGAAGAAGAAGCUGCGGCUAACUACGUGCCAGCAGCCGCGGUAAUACGUAGGCAGCAAGCGUUGUUCGGAGUUACUGGGCGUAAAGAGUGCGUAGGCGGUUUCCUAAGUUUGGUGUGAAAUCUCCCGGCUUAACUGGGAGGGUGCGCCGAAGACUGGGGAGCUAGAGGAUGGGAGAGGCAAGCGGAAUU
rnacentral:rRNA from 1 species